CCCGCACAAGCGGUGGAGCAUGUGGUUAAUUCGAUGCAACGCGAAGAACCUUACCUACCCUUGACAUGUCCGGAACUUGCCAGAGAUGGCUUGGUGCCCGAAAGGGAAUCGGAACACAGGUGCUGCAUGGCUGUCGUCAGCUCGUGUCGUGAGAUGUUGGGUUAAGUCCCGCAACGAGCGCAACCCUUAUCAUUAGUUGCUACGCAAGGGCACUCUAAUGAGACUGCCGGUGACAAACCGGAGGAAGGUGGGGAUGACGUCAAGUCCUCAUGGCCCUUAUGGGUAGGGCUUCACACGUCAUACAAUGGUCGGUACAGAGGGUUGCCAAGCCGCGAGGCGGAGCCAAUCCCACAAAGCCGAUCGUAGUCCGGAUUGUUCUCUGCAACUCGAGAGCAUGAAGUCGGAAUCGCUAGUAAUCGCAGGUCAGCAUACUGCGGUGAAUACGUUCCCGGGUCUU
rnacentral:rRNA from 1 species